CUAGCAAAAUCGGACUCUGUUUAAUAUGUUGUAGAGCUCACCAUUGCCUCGAUUGCUGGUUUUCAGGUCAUCCACAGACUGGAUCCACUCUCACCGACUCAGAGCCCUCUGUCUCUCUCUGGCCGGCCCACCCUAUCUCGGCAGAGUUACAUGUCAGCCAUUUAAUCAGACUGAUUGUGUUACCACCAGACGCCGAAACAUGCCAUCCAUUCCCACUGCAACACUGUGACAUUUAACAAGCUGAAAAAGUACCUCAGGGCUCAGCAUCAACGCGCCCACCUCCUCCGUGGCUCCCCUCGUAGCUGACGGGAGGGCUGUACGGACUGACUCAGAUACCGGGGCUGGAGUGGCAAGACCUUGGGUGGAACUGCUCAUGUGUCUGCGUGACUGUUUUUGACUGUGUAUUUAGUUUUUGUGUUUGUGUGAGAGUGUGUGCUUGUGUGUGUGUGUGUGUGUGAUACAAUGUCGGCAGAGAGAGAGAGAGAGACAGAAAGAGAAAGAGACAGAGAUUUGACAAAAGAGAUGGGUGGAGAGAGGGUGUUAUACGGGCUGGAAGCGUCAGAAGCCAGGCUAUAACAAGUCUGACUCUGUAAGGUGUCAGUCUCACCUUUGAUUGGUCUGUGUUUAGCUAGAGCCCACAGGAGACAGGUUGUAAACUGACGGCAAGUUGGCACCUUCUUUAGACGUCACCUCCUCUGUCCCGUUGUAGUCUCUUCGGCGUGCAGCGCCACCUGUGUCAACAAGGUCAUUAUGUCGACUUCGUGUCAUCAUGUCGACUUUGCAUUAUGUCGCCAAUUCAUUCUUUUCUUAUAUAUGGUCCCUGUAAGGACCCUUCCACAUCAGACCUUCAUUUCAUAGUAUUCACCUCCAACUAAUCAAGUGUAAUCUGUCUGUUAUUUGGCCUACAUUUUGCAGUGUGAACCCAGUGACAUAGCUUUGCAAGGAGACGAUAAGUUUACUGUUGUGUGUUUACCUCCUCUGUAAAUGUUUAUCUUUCCUGUUUAUCAUAACAUAUCAAUGUCCACCUUCAGCUCUCCAUACGAUGUGGACCCAAAGUUGAAGCGAGGGUGGGGGUGAGGAAAAGACAAUAUAUGACAGAGCCGCUCAGGAAUAGCUGGAUGUUUAAUUUCCUCUGCCAGGGGAAGGUUGAGGGGUGUUGUGUUUAGCCUGCUCUCCUCUCAUUUCCUCUAUCUGACCAUGACUUGCAUUGCCCUACU
rnacentral:lncRNA from 1 species